CAGUAUGUCUGUUAGCUUGUAUAUAGGAGAUUAGGACAAGUAGACUAUCUUCUUGAAUAUUUCCACACCCUCCCCAACAGGAAAGGGGCUAGAAUUGAAAUAGCCAUCUUGAGACAAUGAAGAAAAAUGCCACAAGCUAAGAUUCAGGAGGAACACAGGUUUUGUAUUGUUUUUAUAGAGCUGCUCUCACAUGCUUCAGCAACAUUAGAUGGAUGAGUGAUCCAGGAGAAAACAAGGCCGGACUGUCAUGUCUUUUAUAACCCAGCCUCAAAGUCACCCAUCAUUACUUCUGCAAGAUACUAUGGACUACACAGGUGGACCCUAUUUAAUGUGGGAGAGGAAUACCUAAAGGGCAUCAUCAAAUCUAUGUGAGCUGUCUCCACAUCUUCAAAGAAAGAAGUACGAAUCUAGAAAAAAACUGCAAAGAAAAGAGAACAAGAAGCAAAGAUUCAUCAAAACAAUUCCCAGAAAAUCGACCCUAUGUAGUAAAAUAAUGAAAAUUUUCAUUGGCAUGUCAGAGCACUUACUCCAGAAUUUUAAAAGUGCACUCACUCCAGAUUUAAAAGUGCACAGAGUACAUGAGAAUGCAGUCUUGGAAUUAUAAUGCCCUAAGGAUAGAAGAGAA